rnacentral:rRNA from 1 species
UACGAAGGGGGCUAGCGUUGUUCGGAAUUACUGGGCGUAAAGCGUGCGCAGGCGGCUUCUCAAGUCAGGGGUGAAAGCCCAGAGCUCAACUCUGGAAUUGCCUUUGAGACUGAGUGGCUUGAGUACGAGAGAGGUGAGUGGAAUUCCCAGUGUAGAGGUGAAAUUCGUAGAUAUUGGGAAGAACACCGGUGGCGAAGGCGGCUCACUGGCUCGUAUCUGACGCUCAUGCACGACAGCGUGGGGAUCAAACAGG